rnacentral:misc_RNA from 1 species
GAGUCAGUUGUGGAUGGCCCACAGUCUGCUACGAAUCUCAAUUCAACCAGCUAGAAGGCAAUUAGUUAAGCAGCCACGAUGGUUAACCUGAUUCUAUAUGGCACUGAGUCCAGUCCGCCGGUCCGUGCCGUUCUGCUGACCCUUCGUGCCCUCCAGCUAGACCAUGAGUUCCACACGCUGGACAUGCAGGCCGGCGAUCAUCUGAAGCCGGAUAUGUUACGCAAGAAUCCCCAGCACACGGUACCCAUGCUGGAGGAUGGUGAGUCGUGCAUUUGGGACUCACACGCCAUCAUCGGCUAUCUAGUGAACAAGUACGCCCAGUCGGAUGAGCUCUAUCCGAAGGAUCCGCUAAAGCGAGCUGUGGUGGAUCAGCGGCUGCAUUUCGAGACCGGUGUCCUUUUUCACGGCAUCUUCAAGCAACUGCAGAGAGCUCUGUUCAAGGAGAAUGCCACUGAGGUGCCCAAGGAUCGCUUGGCUGAGCUGAAGGAUGCCUACGCCUUGCUGGAGCAGUUUCUGGCGGAGAAUCCCUAUGUGGCCGGUCCUCAGCUGACCAUCGCCGACUUUAGCAUUGUGGCCACCGUGAGCACUCUGCACCUGAGCUACUGUCCCGUGGAUGCGACCAAAUACCCCAAGUUAUCCGCCUGGUUGGCACGCAUCUCCGCAUUGCCCUUCUAUGAGGAGGACAACUUGAGAGGAGCCCGCUUGCUGGCCGAUAAGAUCCGCUCCAAGCUGCCCAAGCAGUUUGACAAGCUGUGGCAAAAGGCCUUUGAGGACAUCAAGAGCGGAGCUGGAAAACAAUGAUGCGGAAGCCAUUGUCUCAUCGAUAAGAGAGCAUUGCCUAAAGCAAAAUUGAACUCGUGACUUUGUGGGCAUCUCAGGAACUUACCUUGCGUCGCCGCGUUUUAUGCGCCUCAUUGCAGCGGCGACGAGAAAGUGGUGGCAGGCAAACUAAUUGGUUUAAUU